GACGAACGCUGGCGGCGUGCUUAACAUAUGCAAGUCGAACGGAAAGGCGCUGCUUUUGUGGGGUGCUCGAGUGGCGAACGGGUGAGUAACACGUGAGUAACCUGCCCUUGACUUUGGGAUAACUUCAGGAAACUGGGGCUAAUACGGGAUAGGAUCUUCUGCUGAAUGGUGGGGGUUGGAAAGUUUCGGCGGUAGGGGAUGGACUCGCGGCUUAUCAGCUUGUUGGUGGGGUAGUGGCUUACCAAGGCUUUGACGGGUAGCCGGCCUGAGAGGGUGACCGGCCACAUUGGGACUGAGAUACGGCCCAGACUCCUACGGGAGGCAGCAGUGGGGAAUAUUGCACAAUGGGCGGAAGCCUGAUGCAGCAACGCCGCGUGCGGGAUGACGGCCUUCGGGUUGUAAACCGCUUUCGCCUGUGACGAAGCGUGAGUGACGGUAAUGGGUAAAGAAGCACCGGCUAACUACGUG
rnacentral:rRNA from 1 species